rnacentral:lncRNA from 1 species
AUUCCACUGGCAGAAUGAGCUCAAUGGUAAGACUGAAUGAGUUGAUUUUCCUUCAGUAUGUGACGGCAACACUUAAGCACAGAGACUUAUUUCUUACCAAGAAGCCACACCAAGAUUAUAUCUUCUGUUGUAUCACCAUGUAACCAUCUCUGGAGAAACUAACAGCACUCCUCCAUUGAGUCUGCCCAAGGACAAUGUACCAAGGAAAUCCCAAAUGCAGCCAGAACUGUAAGAAUUAAUUUGCAGAACUGAGGCACAGUGCUCACCUCCCCAUGAGCCUUCAC